rnacentral:misc_RNA from 1 species
AAGUCGUAACAAGGUUAAAUAUCGAUGUAGGUAAAAACCACCUCCGAAGCCUUGAACUCUAGUCUAUUCUUAAUAGGCUACACCGGUCUGUUGCUAGGCCUAGCAUUUAUAUCAGUUAAAUGUUUAACUAGCAGUCGUUUAUACGAUUCACAGGUCAAACACCGGUGGUGAGCAAAUUCGCGAAUUUAGAUAUGAUCGGUCAGUCUUUGUUAAGAAGUUUGAUAAACGUUCCGUAGGUGAACCUGCGGAAGGAUCAUUAUCGGGAGUGCCCUCGUGGCUUAACCUGCAACCCAAUGUUUA